rnacentral:rRNA from 1 species
GUGGGGGAUAUUGCACAAUGGGGGAAACCCUGAUGCAGCGACGCCGCGUGAAGGAAGACGUACUUCGGUAUGUAAACUUCUAUCAGCAGGGAAGAAGAUGACGGUACCUGACUAAGAAGCCCCGGCUAACUACGUGCCAGCAGCCGCGGUAAUACGUAGGGGGCAAGCGUUAUCCGGAUUUACGGGGUGUAAAGGGAGCGUAGACGGUGAAGCAAGUCUGAUGUGAAAACCCGGGGCUCAACUCCGGGAUUGCAUUGGAAACUGUUUUACUUGAGUGCUGGCGGGGCAAGCGGAAUUCCUGGUGUAGCGGUGAAAUGCGUAGAUAUCAGGAAGAACACCGGUGGCGAAGGCGGCUUGCUGGACAGUAACUGACGCUGAGGCGCGAAAGUGUGGGGAGCAAACAGGAUUAGAAACCCCUGUAGUCC